rnacentral:piRNA from 1 species
UGCCCAUUUGUCUGUGGAAGGUUGGCUGU